rnacentral:tRNA from 1 species
GUUAAGGUGGCAGAGCCCGGAAAUAUGCAAAAGGCCUAAGCCCUUUGAACAGGGGUUCAAAUCCUCUCCUCAACU